GAAGCAUCAUGGCUCAGUGGUUAAGAACAUCUGCUUUGCAUGCAGAUGGUCCCAGAAUCAAUUCCCAGCAGCAUCU